UGUCAUAGUAGCACGCAUUCCUCGCUCAGUUUCGUUUCUCCGUUCUGAGUCUUAGUUUGACGCACAACCUUCAAAUACUUCUUCAAUAUUGUUUAUUCACAGAUGGCAAAAAUGCACUCACAGAUCUCGUAUUUGAACGUUCAUCCGUUUGUCAAUAGGUAUAUAUGAGUUUUUCAGCUUAAUCUACAUUGCAGCUUGAUCACUAGGUAUAUACGAAUCUAUAUCACUUUUAUUCUAUUA